CCAACUCCACCUGAGAGCAGAGAGAGAGACAAGGGGAAGGAAAAGGAGCAGGCCUGCCGGGACCAUGCCAAUAGUACUAUUCUGCUUUUAGGUGCCCUUGUAGGGAAAAUGUGAAAAAUUGCCUGAAUGAACAGACGGUGUACCACUUUCAGCUGCUCCCUUAUUUACAAGAGGUCACCACAGAAGUAUGUCAGAAACAAGUUUGCAAGCAGCAUCUUUGAUGAGAAACGAUUGCCUCGGGCUUUUCAUUGCCACUCCUACAACAAGAAAAUGUUUUGAGCGAGUGCUGCACAUGACUCCUCUGUGACGAUGAUUACUGUUGCGCCGCGAUGACAGGAAUCCCACCUGACAUGGCUAGGCUUGCAAGCUUCCAUUUGUUGGCGAUUCGCUGCAGUGUAUGACGGCAGCUACAGGUGCCUCUCUGUGGCUUAAAUACAGGGGAGGCUGAGUUUUAAUCAUCCUCGCACACAGAGCCAGAAGGAUGAAUAACCGCGAGGGCCCCGAUGAACAGGAAGGAUGGGUUUUUAUUAAGAAACAUUUCUGACUGGGACUUCAGUGGAAAAUGUGAAUCCUCUCCUGGAAAGCUUCAUAAGUGCCCUGGUUAUUAUGUAUCCCUCUAAACCCAAGCUUUAGGAUUAGUCCACUCCCAUAAAAGCUAACAUUUCGAAUUUUAAAUAUAACUGCUGAGCACUUCGUGGAUGAUAUAUGCCUUUAUUUAAAUCUGCCUUUAGUGCUUUUUUUGGGUGGUACAUAAAAGAGACAAUCCCUGAGAUUGUAAUUGCUGUUAUGAUGUAUUAUCUUCCACAUUAGCUUCCAUGACAAGCGUCGCAACAAUCCUAUAAUUUUACGUUCAAGCCCUGGGAUUUUCCAGUUCCUCCAUCGCAUCUUUAGAAGUGCAAGUCAUAGUGUGCGGAUCUGGUUAGUUUUUUAGAGCAGGGUGGUGACUGAGUCCUCUAACUUGUCCCGACAACUCGGCAGGUUGGGUACUUCUCAAUAGAAACACCUCGGCAGCGUCACGUCUGCUACCUGCACCUGCCACAGGCAAGUGCUUCUGCCUUACAAAGGCAUAACUUAAUGCCGAAGCAGGUCCCAGCCUGCAUCCGCCCCCCUCUGCAUCCUCUUACUCAGUCCUGUCUUGUUGUUCUCACCGCCUCAUUGUCAGACCACAAGGAAGGCAGGAAAAAGUGGCUACUUGACCCUCUUUGGUCGCUUUCUUUGCCGUGACUUUCACAUGAGAGCGUAUUUUUUGCUUGUUUCCCGCAUUAGGAAGCCAGGUUUUAAAAUCAUCCUUUCAGUUGAUGUUAUAGGUCCCUGACAGCUCAAAACAAGUAUUAGUAUAUACACGUUAUUUUUUCCAGGCCCUGUGUGCGCGCUGAUCAGUGAAGUAUAGCUAUGUCUUCAUUAAGGGCUCUUUCGGUAUCCUUCCACUGCUGUUUCUGGACUGAAAUGUCAGAUUUCCACAGCUCAGGCCACUGUAAAAUGAAAGCACUUGGGCAACACUGAAUCAGUGAAACAAAAGUCAAAACACGAUCCCACUGCGCUCAUGAUAACUCCCUCAUGCAUGCCCAAACAGAUAUUAUUUUGAAUUCCUUCUCCUUUAUCUCUGUCUUCCCCCACAUCUGCUGCCAAUUACAUCAUCAGAAUGCUUCAGUUCCUGUUUCCUCCCUCCUCCUGAAUGGCUGAUCACCCCUCAGCGACGGCCGAACAGACCCAUGAAGUCCUAAAUUUAGAAGGUGCACGUACCAGUGGGGAUGAACAGACGCUAUUAAUGUUGGGGGGGAGGCCACAGCAUAGGAUCGUUAUUCGGUUUCUAAUCAGAAACUACUUUAGGUGCAGGAGUAGAGGAGUGGUAUCACAGGAACACCUUACCGUUAUAUAAAAGAUAAUAGGGGUGUAUAACAUGCUCAUGUUUUUGUUGACGCUUUGUUAGAGAAUUAAGUUUAUGGAUUUCAUUAAUAAAUCUUUUUAGCUUACUACACAUCUUAAAUAUGCAACACCCUAUAGAUAUGAAUAUUACAACUUGAUCUAUUGAUUUUAAAGCAGACAGCAAAUGUUGGACAUUUUUACUUGAUAAAUAAGGUAUGAAAAUUGCUGGUGCUUUUCCUACUUAUUGACGUCACAAGUAAUUGUUUUAACACAACUUUGGAAGAAUAAAAAAACAACAAACCGCAAGAAGAUUGAACAGAGCUUCCACUGCAGACAGAUAUAUGAUAUAAAGGCCACACUAAGUAUGGAAAAAUAAAAAAGUAAUUACAAAACCUCUGAAAUAUUCUAGUGUAAAUAUCAAAACCUA